UGGGGAAUAUUGCACAAUGGGUGCAAGCCUGAUGCAGCCAUGCCGCGUGUAUGAAGAAGGCCUUCGGGUUGUAAAGUACUUUCAGUCGGGAGGAAGGUGGUAAGGUUAAUAACCUUAUCAAUUGACGUUACCGACAGAAGAAGCACCGGCUAACUCCGUGCCAGCAGCCGCGGUAAUACGGAGGGUGCAAGCGUUAAUCGGAAUUACUGGGCGUAAAGCGCACGCAGGCGGUUGAUUGAGUCAGAUGUGAAAUCCCCGGGCUUAACCCGGGAAGUGCAUCUGGUACUGGUCAGCUAGAGUCUUGUAGGGGGGGGUAGAAUUCCAUGUGUAGCGGUGAAAUGCGUAGAGAUCUGGAGGAAUACCGGUGGCGAAGGCGGCCCCCUGGACGAAGACUGACGCUCAGGUGCGAAAGCGUGGGGAGCAAACAGG
rnacentral:rRNA from 1 species